rnacentral:rRNA from 1 species
UACAGAGGGGGCAAGCGUUGUUCGGAAUUACUGGGCGUAAAGGGCGCGUAGGCGGCCUGUUAAGUCGAACGUGAAAUCCCCGGGCUCAACCCGGGAACUGCGUCCGAUACUGGCAGGCUUGAAUCCGGGAGAGGGAUGUGGAAUUCCAGGUGUAGCGGUGAAAUGCGCAGAUAUCGGGAGGAACACCAAUGGCGAAGGCAGCUCGCUGGGACGGUACUGACGCUGAGACGCGAAAGCGUGGGGAGCAAACAGG